rnacentral:rRNA from 1 species
AUAGAUAGGGGCCCUGAGAGGGGGAUCCCCCACACUGGUACUGAGACACGGACCAGACUCCUACGGGAGGCAGCAGUGAGGAAUAUUGGACAAUGGAGGCAACUCUGAUCCAGCCAUGCCGCGUGCAGGAAGACUGCCCUAUGGGUUGUAAACUGCUUUUAUAUAGGAAGAAACCUACUUACGUGUAAGUAGCUGACGGUACUAUAAGAAUAAGGAUCGGCUAACUCCGUGCCAGCAGCCGCGGUAAUACGGAGGAUCCAAGCGUUAUCCGGAAUCAUUGGGUUUAAAGGGUCCGUAGGUGGAUAAUUAAGUCAGAGGUGAAAUCUUGCAGCUCAACUGUAAAAUUGCCUUUGAUACUGGUUAUCUUGAGUUAUUAUGAAGUAGUUAGAAUAUGUAGUGUAGCGGUGAAAUGCAUAGAUAUUACAUAGAAUACCAAUUGCGAAGGCAGAUUACUAAUAAUCAACUGACACUGAUGGACGAAAGCGUGGGUAGCGAACAGGAUUAGAUACCCUGGUAGUCCACGCCGUAAACGAUGGUUACUAGCUGUUUGGACCUGCGUCUGAGUGGCUAAGCGAAAGUGAUAAGUAACCCACCUGGGGAGUACGUUCGCAAGAAUGAAACUCAAAGGAAUUGACGGGGGCCCGCACAAGCGGUGGAGCAUGUGGUUUAAUUCGAUGAUACGCGAGGAACCUUACCAGGGCUUAAAUGUAGUGGGACAGAUCUAGAGAUAGAUUUUUCUUCGGACUCAUUACAAGGUGCUGCAUGGUUGUCGUCAGCUCGUGCCGUGAGGUGUCAGGUUAAGUCCUAUAACGAGCGCAACCCCUGUUGUUAGUGCCAGC